rnacentral:rRNA from 1 species
UACAGAGGGUGCGAGCGUUGUUCGGAAUUACUGGGCGUAAAGCGCGCGCAGGCGGCCCUUUAAGUCUGCCGGCCAAAUGCCGGGGCUCAACCCCGAGCUCGCCGGAGAUACUGGAGGGCUGGAGACACGUAGAGGCAAGCGGAAUUCCGGGUGUAGCGGUGGAAUGCGUAGAGAUCCGGAAGAACACCGGAGGCGAAGGCGGCUUGCUGGGCGUGAUCUGACGCUGAGGCGCGAAAGCUAGGGUAGCAAACGGG